AAUCCGUGUUGAGGGCAACAGUGAAUCAAAUAUUUAUACAUUUCCCAUGCUUCAUAGAGUGACUCGAAAUCAUUUUGCUUGAAUUGAUCAAUUUCGCUCCUGAGUUU